rnacentral:rRNA from 1 species
UACGUAGGGUGCAAGCGUUGUCCGGAAUUAUUGGGCGUAAAGAGCUUGUAGGCGGUUUGUCGCGUCUGCUGUGAAAUUUCGGGGCUCAACCCCGAACUUGCAGUGGGUACGGGCAGACUAGAGUGUGGUAGGGGAGACUGGAAUUCCGGGUGUAGUGGUGGAAUGCGUAGAGAUCCGGAGGAACACCAGCGGCGAAGGCGGCGUCCUGGACUGGGCCUGACGCUCAGGAGCGAAAGCGUGGGGAGCGAGUCCGG